UAUUACAAGAUAUUAUCUUGAUUAUGUAUAGUCUUCCGUAAUUGAGGUAAUUACAAUGCCACAAAAAUUUAAUUCCACUUCUGAGUGACGCAUCUUUAGAACAACAAAAGUUGCGUUCAGCCCUAGAUGACGGGUUUCAAGUGUAUCAAGCAUUUGUUUUUCUGCACUGCGUACCGUAUAUAUAGCUAUAGCAGGAAAUUUUGCAAAUUUUCGCUUAACACUGGAAACCACGCCCUUUCUUUUGGGAAUGGGACGGCCAGGUGACUAUCAAGUCCCAAAGAGGAAUGUAGUUAAUGUGACUGCCUUGCUGGUUUGCAUAAAUGCUGUAACUACACCCCCGUGGUCACCGAACCGCAACACAGGAAACCACACCCUUUUCUUUGAACCACUUCCGCAAAAUUCAUGAAGACGAGUUAUUGUCUGGCAAGACAUCUAUACGUGCAGUGUAUAGCUGCUAGUGCUAUAAUUAUUGGGAAGCAUUGAAGACAGCAUUCUUCUUCACUAUAUAUAAGUGACUGAUCAAAAUCAACUGAGAAGAAGCUCAUACAUCUAUACUGCCCAGUGGCGUAUCCAGCUAAGGGCUCAGGGUGCUCAAGCACCCCUCUAAGCUUAACAUUAAUUACUGCAACUUACUGGAUAGCUGGGAGCUGAGCCUGAGCUUGCACUACGGAGCUAGCUAGAGCUCGCAGAAGAGUUUUUAUACUGAUUGGAGAGUCAGACCACACCUUCAGAUAAUAAGUUUCCUGGGCAUGCGUACUGUGACUUAUUAACCGAAUAGCCGCGGUUAUGAUUUCAUACGUAGUACCGCCCACCGCGGAACCAAAAUCUAAUUAAAUUUUUUUCAAAAUUAUAAUGUGGACAGUUAGAAAAAAUAAACUACUUUCAUUAUCAGAAAGAUGCGUAGCUAAGAAGCAGUAGCAGUUUUCUGCAGGCAACUUUGUUGCAAACUAGUCUAGAAUAGCUACUCUGCCAGGAUCUCUAAGUUUCGAACGGAGGAGUAUACCAGCCAAGGCCCCGGCCCCAGCGAAGGAUCAUUUCACAACAUUCGCCUCUUGCAUGCAAAGAAAGAUGCAUAACUUGGAAACAGUGACAGUUUUCUUUAUUCAACUUCGUAGCAAAAUAGUCUACAGUAGUUACUGUGUCAGGAUCUCCUGGUUUCCAACGAAACAGUCAACCAGCCAAGGCCAGAGCAAGGGAUCACUUCAGAGUGUGGCAAAGAAAGAUGCACCCCUUAGUAACAGUAACAGUUCUCUUCAAGCUACCUUGUAGUUCUAUCUGAACAGUCGAACAGUCAACCAGCCAAGGACAGAGCGAGAGAUUACUUUAGAGCUGUGAAGAAUGCUGGACACCGGAAAGUUUGGGCCAACAGAUUGGUUGAGAUGGUGCGAGUCCAUAGGCAGGCCAGGAGUGGAACUGCUUACCAUCUGUGAAACAAUCGUCAUGCACUGCUAUCUGCCAUGGUACCACCACCAUCUUAUGGUUCUGAGAAGUCCCACUCACUAUCACUACUAUCCAGGAUACCUCAUCCCCUAUGUACAGAGGCCUCUUUGUCAUUGUUGUAUACCAUAGAAUUAAUUGUAAUUGUAAUUAUUAUAAUGUAUGUUCACUUUUUUGAGAUUGAUAUUGAUAAAUACAAAUUUCACACGAAAUUUUAAGUAAAUUUUUGAUUGCUAACCUAUGGUGAUCGGACUCGGUAUGGCUUCUGUUGACCUUCGAGAGAAGCCUUGCAAAGAUGUGGAGCUCAGAGGUUGUAGCUUACCACAAAUUAAAUAAGAGUAGAGCAAUGUGCACGGUUGAAACAAAUAUGUGUCAUCCGCGGCGGUUACCAGCUUUUUCCGUAAUUAGGCAAAUUUGUGUCAUCCGCGGUUGAUCAAUUAAAGCUACAUGCUACAAAAAUCAAUAGUACAAGUCAAGAGCCUGCAUCAGAGAAGGUUGUUCUUUCUCACUGUCAGUGUCUAUAUAUUCAGCCAACAUCACCAGCAGAAACUUGAUCACACUCUAAAUACCAGCUGCUCAGCAGAGAGGUCUUUCAGUGGUCUGAAGAGAAUAAAGACAGCAUUACGAUCACACAGAAUGAUUUGCUAACUGGACUAUAUAUAUAUACACAUACACUGUGACAUACCUGUAUAGUAGAUAUUGAUAUAGCUAUAAUUAUAGUUAUGUCAAAUAUCAGGCGCAUCUAUGCAUGUUGAGUAAGUGCAGCGGAAAUAGUUUCUACGCAUGCCCGCGCCCAUUUGUAUACACUAUUUAUCUUUGUCGGAGUAGACUGCCAUGGGUCGUCGAGCAUUUUUCUUUCCCAAAGUAACUUUUUUUGUCCUCAGGGCAUGCAUGGGCUCUUUUGGCCUUUACCGUACUCCCUCAAAUCUAUAGCUUUAAUUUGUCUGUACAUAUGUAUGUAUAUCUACAUGCAUGCAUGAAUGCAGAUAAUAUACUAUAAAGCUAAUAAUUAGUAGCCUCGGCUCCACUGAAGUGCGGCCUGGGAUCGAGGCUAAAAUUAUCAAUUUUCUCAGAUUCGUUCAUGCAAAAUACUGAAGGGCUUCUCUUAGAAACCUAUAGCUGUCCAAGUAUCCUAACAUCGUUCUCAAGCUGCACGGUACAUAUACCCGGUACCGUAUAUCUUCUAAUUUAUCGGACAGCAAAAAUAAUUAUUUUGGAAAUUGUCCGGAUAUAAUUGGAACAGAUUUUAAUACAGCAUGCGAAGUGUCCGGAAUAAUAAGAACAAGCAAGCAGCUGCAUGCGAGCUAGCUAAGUUUAAUAGAACAGCUAUAGGGUACGACUGAAUAGUUGCACUAUAGCUAUCUAAAACUAGCUACUCAAAGCUAUCUAACUGCAGCACUCUAAGUCUUACUUGCCGUCUAUGAAUGGUAACUCAACUUUUCAAGGUAUUGUCCGGAUAUUUAGUAUAAUAUUAAAGUACUGGAGUGUCCGUUGUAUUAGAACAACAAAAAUUUCCCAAAAGAAUGUCCGGGGUAACUAGAAGUGUCCGAUAAAUUACGGUAUAUAUAGCUCUCUCCAUUUUCUAGAGUGCUAAGAAUAGCCGCAACACUCUAUUUAGAUUUAUUGAGUGAAUUGUGUAAAAUUUCUGGCUAGACCCUCUAUAUAUACACUACUCAAAACGGUUUACAACUGUGCAUGCUUGCCGUUCUUGCAGUAUUGAGAUUCUUGGUCUUAUCCUUCAAUCGUAGCAGCUCAUUCACCUCAGCAGAGUUGGUUUGUGUUGUUUCAUCAUAAAAAGAGUACAAUUCAUCAGUCAGAAGGUCAUUUAGAGCUGGCUAUCCUCUGCCGACCAUUGCCCAGGCUUCUCCAUUUGACAGAAACACACUCAAUACAUAUCUUGCAGCAACUGGCAACCGUCUUCUGCUUUGUUUUUACUUAUGUUGCUAUAUAUAAUUAUAUGCUCAGCCAGAGGCCUUCAACCAUGCACGCGCAUGCGUUUUUCUUGUGUUAGCGUUUAACUGAACGAAUCUAAUUUCCUGAGGCACUUGACGACGUGUAAUUUACUGGACCGGAUAUAUAAUAGCUGUACUAUAUAGUAAGAAUAGCAGUAUAAUUAUAGUAAUAGUGAUUAUGUAGACGUGCAUAGUCUAGAGUGUUAGUCAUAUAAAUAUCAUAAUCAAAUUUCAAUAU